GGCCUGCCCAUUGGACUCCAUGCCCUGGGAUUUCACAACAAGGUGGUGCUUCUGGGGUUUUGUGUGUCAGAGCAAUUCUGAGUCGAAGGAUGAGGAAAUCACCAGCACUGGUUGAGGCAUUAGAGAAGGAAACAGACCAGAGCCUUCUGUAGCUGCAUAAGCCAGCAGUAAAACCAGAGAAUUACACAAGCAUUGCACAAGGGAGACCUGACUGGAAGUGUUGCCUCUGGCUCACAUUCCUUUUAAGCUGCUAUAAAACUUUAAAUAUAAUUAAUAAAUAACUAGGCCUCUCAAGCAGAGAUGAGCCCAAAGCUCUGCCCCUUGCAUGAACCGAGUUUGUUAUUUCAGCUCUUGAUAUAAAAGUACAGAAUAUCACUGUGUGCUAUAAUGAGGCUUUCAGCUGUGUACUUGCUACUGGAGGUGAGCCAGGCAGGACUGGCUGUAUUGCUGCAGCAAGAAAAAUAUAAACCUAGGCAGCCUAAAGAAGAAAGUUGCCUAAAGCCUAAUCCUGAGGUGAGAAGGCAUCGGCAUCUUAUAGGCUUCUAUUGUUUCUUCCCCCCUCUGACACUGCUUAAGCCAUUUUGAACCUCAGCCCAUGGAAGAGGAGGAUGAAAUUUUCAUCGGCGCUAUGAUGACUCACAAGCUCCAAACCAAGAAAAAAAGGAGAAGAAAUAAUCACCAGGGAAAGGUAAUGCUCAAACAAACAAACAAAGAAGUGGAAGUGCUGCAGCUCUACCAGGCUGAAAGAAUGAGUGUAUAUCCUGUGAUGCUCUUGGCUAUGUGACAGUGUUUUCCUUCUGUGUUUCUGUCUCAGUAAAAUUAGAGGCGUAUGCUUGGAGCCUGGGAGAUGUGAGCUCGGGGGGUUGGAGCUACAUGAUCCUUGAGGUCCCUUCCAACCCGGG